GACGAACGCUGGCGGCGUGCCUAAUACAUGCAAGUCGAACGCAGUGGGGACGGGUGAGUAACACGUGGGUAACCUCCCAUCAGAGGGGAUAACACUUGGAAACAGGUGCUAACCCGCUACUGAUGGAUGGACCCGCGGUGCAUUAGCCAGUUGGUGGGGUAACGGCUCAACAAGGCCACGAUGCAUAGCCGGCCUGAGAGGGGGACCGGCCACACUGGGACUGAGACACGGCCCAGACUCCUACGGGAGGCAGCAGUAGGGAAUCUUCGGCAAUGGACGAAAGUCUGACCGAGAAACGCCGCGUGAGUGAAGAAGGUCUUCGGUUGGUAAAACUCUGUUAUUGGGGAAGCGGUAUCUAAACAGAAAGCCACGGCUAACUACGUGCCAGCAGCCGCGGUAAUAC
rnacentral:rRNA from 1 species